CUCUGUUAGGUUAAGCAGCCUCAAGCUCGGGUAGUACUCGGGUGGGUGACCACCGGGGAAGUCCGGGUGCUGUCUACUUU